AGUUCGAUUAUGGCUCAGAUUGAACGCUGGCGGGAUGCUUUACACAUGCAAGUCGAACGGCAGCACGGACUUCGGUCUGGUGGCGAGUGGCGAACGGGUGAGUAAUGUAUCGGAACGUGCCUAGUAGCGGGGGAUAACUACGCGAAAGCGUAGCUAAUACCGCAUGCGCCCUUCGGGGGAAAGCGGGGGACCUUCGGGCCUCCGCACUAUUAGAGCGGCCGAUAUCGGUUAGCUAGUUGGUGGGGUAACGGCUCACCAAGGCGACGAUCCAUAGCUGGUUUGAGAGGACGACCAGCCACACUGGGACUGAGACGGCCAGACUCCUACGGGAGGCAGCAGUGGGGGAAUUUUGGACAAUGGGGAAACCCUGAUCCAGCCAUCCCGCGUGUGCGAUGAAGGCCUUCGGGUUGUAAAGCACUUUUGGCAGAGAAAAACGGCGCAGGAUAAUGCCCGUGCAACUGACGGUACCUGCAGAAUAAGCACCGGCUAACUACGUGCCAGCAGCCGCGGUAAUACGUAGGGUGCAAGCGUUAAUCAGAUUACUGGGCGUAAAGCGUGCGCAGGCGGUUCGGAAAAGAAAGAUGUGAAAUCCCAGAGCUUAACUUUGGAACUGCAUUUUUAACUACCGAGCUAGAGUGUGUCAGAGGGAGGUGGAAUUCCGCGUGUAGCAGUGAAAUGCGUAGAUAUGCGGAGACACCGAUGGCGAAGGCAGCCUCCUGGGAUAACACUGACGCUCAUGCACGAAAGCGUGGGGAGCAAACAGGAUUAGAUACCCUGGUAGUCCACGCCCUAAACGAUGUCAACUAGCUGUUGGGGCCUUCGGGCCUUGGUAGCGCAGCUAACGCGUGAAGUUGACCGCCUGGGGAAUUACGGUCGCAAGAUUAAAACUCAAAGGAAUUGACGGGGACCCGCACAAGCGGUGGAUGAUGUGGAUUAAUUCGAUGCAACGCGAAAAACCUUACCUACCCUUGACAUGUCUGGAAUCCCGAAGAGAUUUGGGGCAACAAGAGAACCGGAACACAGGUGCUGCAUAGCUGUCGUCAGCUCGUGUCGUGAGAUGUUGGGUUAAGUCCCGCAACGAGCGCAACCCUUGUCAUUAGUUGCUACGAAGGGCACUCUAAUGAGACUGCCGGUGACAAACCGGAGGAAGGUGGGGAUGACGUCAAGUCCUCAUGGCCCUUAUGGGUAGGGCUUCACACAUCAUGCAAUGGUCGGGACAGAGGGUCGCCAACCCGCGAGGGGAGCCAAUCCCAGAAACCCGAUCGUAGUCCGGAUCGCAGUCUGCAACUCGACUGCGUGAAGUCCGGAAUCGCUGGUAAUCGCGGAUCAGCAUGUCGCGGUGAAUACGUUCCCGGGUCUUGUACACACCGCCCGUCACACCAUGGGAGUGGGUUUUACCAGAAGUAGUUAGCCUAACCGUAAGGGCGAUUACCAUUAGGAUUCAUGACUGGGGUGAAGUCAUCGCUGAGUAGCUCUGUUACGACUUCACCCCAAAUCAUAGUCCUACCGUACGGUUGGGCUAACUUUAAAAAAACUCUUGGUAAAACCCCUUUUGUGGUGUGGCAGGCGGUAAUGUCCGGGAGCGUAUUCACACUGCGACAUGCUGUCCGCCUUCCGGCUUUCACACGUCAGACUGCGUGAGGAGAUCGCUAGUAAUCGCGGAUCAGCAUGUCGCGGUGAGAUACGUUCCCGGGUCUUGUACACACCGCCCGUCACACC
rnacentral:rRNA from 1 species